CCCCUAGAUGUUCUGGGCCGCACGCGCGCUACACUGAACAGUUCAACAAGUCUUAACCUUGGCCGAUAGGUCUGGGUAAUCUUUGAACGCUGUUCGUGAUUGGGAUAGACCUUUGCAAUUAUGGGUCUUCAACGAGGAAUUCCUAGUAAACGCAAGUCAUCAGCUUGCAUUGAUUACGUCCCUGCCCUUUGUACACACCGCCCGUCGCACCUACCGAUUGAAUGGUCCGGUGAAAUCUCCGGACUGGCGUGAGUCGGAGCAAUCUGACAAACACCGGAAAGUUGAUUAAACCUUACCAUUUAGAGGAAGGUGAANUCGUAACA
rnacentral:rRNA from 1 species